rnacentral:rRNA from 1 species
UACGUAGGGUGCGAGCGUUAAUCGGAAUUACUGGGCGUAAAGCGUGCGCAGGCGGUUCGUUGUGUCGGCGGUGAAAGCCCCGGGCUUAACCUGGGAAUGGCCGUUGAAACUGGCGAACUGGAGUGUGGCAGAGGGGGGUGGAAUUCCGCGUGUGGCAGUGAAAUGCGUAGAGAUGCGGAGGAACACCGAUGGCGAAGGCAGCCCCCUGGGCUAACACUGACGCUCAGGCACGAAAGCGUGGGGAGCAAACAGG